UUUAUUUUAUUGUAACUAUUUUUUUUUUGCAUUUAUCAUACUUUACUCAAUAAAUAUUUAUUAUUCUUUGGUACAUGUAGAGAGGUAGCUACACAUGCUUAGAUAGAUAGAAGUUGCUGAUUACUGGUGUUGGUUUUGACUCCAACGCAGAAUAGAGUUCACUCAAGUGAUGCUGCACUAGCAUGUCUAGACAUGGGGUUGUUCAGACGUAAGCAUUAUUGCUUGGCAUUGACAGCUGGGACAUGGGUGUCACUCAAGGCAACAUAUACCUGUUGCUGAAAAUGUGCAAAGAGACUUUGGAAGGGGCUGGUGGAAUUAUUGAAAGCAAACGUUGAAGCUGAGAAUACCAAUUGUUGGAAAUGUGCAAAUAGAUUGAAGUUCCUGAAAGAAAAAAAGGUUGAACUUGACGCUAUAU
rnacentral:lncRNA from 1 species